AUGAACAACCUUAAGCAACACACAACGAUUUACGGGAACACCACGCCCCAACCUUUAAUUUUAUUCCCACAAUAAAAUUACAAGGACCUAUCUAUGCUCAAGGCUCGUGCACUACUCUCUUGUGUACAACUCACGGCCAAAUUACAAUUUAAGUGUGAUGGACAUCCCCAUCACUAGGCAAAACCGCACAAGGCUCUUGGAUGUAACCGCCGGGUAGUUUUUCGCCCCACUACUCAAAACUGCCGAUCAUGGGCAUGGGCAAUUGGCGCCCAGCAACUGCCCCACGCUACUCCCAACUGAUCCCGUGUUCGAGUCCUAGCAAAGACAUUUUCUGCCUUCAUCCAUUCGCCUUAGCCAAGACACGCCUUCCUCAUGUCAACUGCUCGGGCGCGCAUCGCCCGUGCUUUGCCUUGUUGGCCCGCAUAGCCAACUGUCGCCCGCGUGGCUGCCGGGUGGACUUAGCGCCAAUUCCUCGUCGUGGCGGGAGUUCGCGCGCGCGGCCCAUCGCUCGGCGCGCGCGCGCACGUCUGCCGUCGCCCAUCGCUUGCCAUCCGUCUCGGCGGGCGCCCGUGUGUUGGCGCCCCGCACGCCCGACGCACAAUGCCCGGCAUCACCCGGCGCACUAGCUCGGCAGCGUGCGUGCCCUCGACACAGCGCUCGCCCGACACUUGCGCUCGACACCCCGCACGCCCGAUGUGCGGCGCCCGGCAUCACCCGGCGCGCCCACUCGGCAGCAUGCGUGCCCGACGCACGACGCCCGGUAUCCAACAACCAUCUUUCACCCGAUGCCACUCAACAUCGGCCAUCCGUGUCUCGCCCGGUAUUCACCCGCACGAUGUGUUGCUCCGCAUCAACACUUGGCUCCGUUGCCCCGCUUCUCGACAACCCUGCGCCAAUCUGCCGAGGCACGUCGCACGGACUCGACGUGUCUCGAACCUCACUUUUCAAGGGUCUAACAAACCACCCCACCAAAACCUGACGACGUCCUCGUCGUUGAUGAGAUUAAACCCCCUUCUCUGAGCUCCUUUUCACGAAUGCUCCCUAACCAAAUUAUGGCCGGAUCCAUCAUCUCUUCCGCACCACCAUUUAAUCCGCCCUCGUUCUUGGACUCAACUUGAAUUGCAGACACAACCUGCAAUGGAUUCAUCCUCGGGCCCACGACCUCGCUGUCCUCAUCCCUUUCAACAACAAUCGCAUUCACCCGCUUUGGAUAAUCCCUCAUUCGAUGCCCCAUUUCAUCACAAAUGAAACAUCCGCGAUUUCUCUUCGGGGCUGUUGCUGCCAUCUCCGGCACCUUGGUUACUUGCUCGCCGGAUUUCUCAUUCUCCUUCCCUUUCUUCGAGUCCUUCUUCCUUCUCUCGAACUCGUGGGAAUCACCAACCGGCCUGAAAUCAACGAAUCCCUCAUCAACAGUAAUGGCCGACUGCACAUCCUUGACUCCUUGCCGUCUCACUUCGGCCUGAGCCCACGGCUGCAUUCCCGCCAUAAAGUUAAACAGUUUGUCCGCCUCCGACAUGUCAUUCACGUCCAACAUCAACGAACUGAAUCUCUUUACAUAGUCACGGACAGAUUCUGUAUACUUCAACUUUCUUAAGGCAUCCCUCGCCAUCCACGAAGAAUUACCCGGAAGGAACUGCUCCUUCAACUCACGCUUUAACGCCUCCCACGUCAAAGACUCCAACUGAUAGCCACCAGCACCGACACUUGGCCUAGAACGCCACCACAGCUUCGCAUCACCCGUCAAGUACAUGCUAGUGAUCGACACCUUCUCAUCAUCGGGUACAUGAGAUGCCUUGAAAUACAUCUCCAUGUCCCAUAGAGAAUUCUCCAACUCCUUCGAACUCUUAGUGCCCUCAAAAGGUUUGGGUCCGGGACACGGACCUUCGGGACCGGCCUGCCUUGCUCCACCGUUCUGAGCACUCGCUUCACGAGUCGCAACUCGUCCAACAACUCCUCGAUCUUGAUGUCGACCGCCUGCGUCAAGGUAGACACCUCUUCCUCGCACGACACGAUCCGACCUUCAACAAAUCCGGGAGUGUCUUCCACCGAUUUGCGCAUUGCUUCAACCGACUCUUUGAUCGCAAUAAUUUGACCAAAGACGGUCUCAAGUCCAGCUGACGUGAGACCUCCGGGUCCUCCCAAACACCGUCUCCAAUCUCAGCACCCGCUCUUCGAGAGCAGAAAAUUCCCUCGCUUGCACCAUCUCCGCAAUGGCCUCCACACGCACCAGAGCCAACCUGGCUCUGAUACCAAAUUGUCACGGGGUUUUCCUUGGCUAGAAUUUUUUGCCCCGUGCAGCGCCGGAUUCCCGCAACCCGACCAGCUUCCACCCUCACCGACACUCCUUUAACACUUAGAAUGUAUGAGGCUCUCAAGUGUAUGCACGAAUCAAAGUUCACACGCAUCGGACAUCAACAUGAACAACCUUAAGCAACACACAACGAUUUACGGGAACACCACGCCCCAACCUUUAAUUUUAUUCCAAAUAAAAUUACAAGGACCUAUCUAUGCUCAAGGCUCGUGCACUACUCUCUUGUGUACAACUCACGACCAAAUUACAAUUUAAGUGUGAUGGACAUCCCCCAUCACUAGGCAAAACCGCACAAGGCUCUUGGAUGUAACCGCCGGGUAGUUUUUCGCCCCACUACUCAAAACUGCCGAUCAUGGGCAUGGGCAAUUGGCGCCCAGCAAC
rnacentral:lncRNA from 1 species